rnacentral:rRNA from 1 species
GAUGAACGCUGGCGGCGUGCUUAACACAUGCAAGUCGAACGUGAUAGGUAGCAAUAUCUUGAAAGUGGCGAACGGGUGAGUAACACGUGGGUAACCUGCCUCGGAGUGGGGGAUAACAGUUAGAAAUGACUGCUAAAACCGCAUGAAUCCAUCGAUUGGGGACAAUUAAUGGAGAAAACUCUGGUGCUUCGAGAGGGCCCGCGGCCGAUUAGCUAGUUGGUGAGGUAACGGCUCACCAAGGCGACGAUCGGUAGCUGGUCUGAGAGGACGAUCAGCCACACGGGAACUGAGACACGGUCCCGACUCCUACGGGGGGCAGCAGUGAGGAAUAUUGGGCAAUGGGCGCAAGCCUGACCCAGCAACGCCGCGUGGAGGAAUGAAGGGCCUUCGGGUUGGUAAACUCCUUUUGCAGGGGAAGGAGGAAGGACGGUACCCUGCGAAUAAGUCACGGCUAACUAACGUGCCAGCAGCCGCGGUAA